GAUGGUGCAUAUUACUUGGAGGAGAAAUACUAUUCUCCCUGUUCAUUUGGGAAGCUUGUGAUUGUCUUCCAACAGAUCCAAAAUUUCCUGCGUUGGAUAAACUGCCUGAACCUUCCAUUCUUCAAAAUCUUGAAGGGAGAAUUACAUGUAUUAAAAAAACAAAGAAUGUCUUGAUCAUGGUCAACGAAAAAGUGCAGAAACCAUUAUUUUGAUCUUUUUCCUAUUCUUGAAUGAAGUUUGUUAGGACAUAUAUACCUUAAAGGACAAUACUUAGGAGACGUUUUGUACCAAACCUCCGACGUGGAGGAAAAUGGUAUAUCCCGCGAUGUAAUCUCCUCCUGUGUUAGUGUCAAUUACCCCUUCU
rnacentral:lncRNA from 1 species